rnacentral:rRNA from 1 species
GGGGAAUAUUGGACAAUGGGCGAAAGCCUGAUCCAGCCAUGCCGCGUGUGUGAAGAAGGCCUUUUGGUUGUAAAGCACUUUAAGUGGGGAGGAAAAGUUAAUGGUUAAUACCCAUUAACCCUGACGUUACCCACAGAAUAAGCACCGGCUAACUCUGUGCCAGCAGCCGCGGUAAUACAGAGGGUGCAAGCGUUAAUCGGAAUUACUGGGCGUAAAGCGAGCGUAGGUGGUUACUUAAGUCAGAUGUGAAAGCCCCGGGCUUAACCUGGGAACUGCAUCUGAUACUGGGUGACUAGAGUAGGUGAGAGGGGUGUAGAAUUCCAGGUGUAGCGGUGAAAUGCGUAGAGAUCUGGAGGAAUACCGAUGGCGAAGGCAGCACCCUGGCAUCAUACUGACACUGAGGUUCGAAAGCGUGGGUAGCAAAC